CUCUGUAGAUUUAAAUAAUGAGAAUAUAUCAAAUAUGCCCAUGUUUGAAGCACACUCACCUGUCGGGUCUGAAAAUGAAUCCUCUGACAGUUCUGAAUCUGAUUGUGAUUCGGAUGACCAAGAGGCUAAUCUGUCUACACUUUUGGUAUCUUGGGUUGCUAAACAUAAUAUUAGCCAUGUUGCAGUUAAUGAGUUAUUAGUUAUUUUACGGCAUUAUCAUCCUUACCUGCCAAAAGAUGUUAGAACGUUAAUGAAAACUCCAAAAAGUUAUGAAGUUUUAAAUGUUGCUGGUGGUAGCUAUUAUCACUUCGGAAUAGAAAAUUGGGUUAUGUUAAUAGUCACGGGCAUAAAAAUGUUAAUGAAGUUUCUCUUCAAGUAAAUAUUGAUGGGCUGCCCUUGUUUAAAAGUUCUGGUGCUCAGCUGUGGCCCAUAUUAGGACGACUUGUAAAACCCAAAAUUUCUAAGCCAUUUCUAAUUGGACUCUAUUCUGGAGAUCAAAAACCUACCAGUGUGGCGGAAUAUCUUAAUCACUUUGUUCGUGACUUGAAUGAUUUAUUUCAGAAUGGAGUUAGGGUUUCAGAUGAAUCUGAAGAGAGAGAGUUGAAUGUUCACUGUCAUGCAUUAUUUGUGAUGCACCUGCAAAAGCAUUUGUCAAACAAAUUAAAGGCUAUAGUGGCUAUCAUGGUUGUGAUAAAUGUAGGCAACGUGGAGUAUGGCGAUAAAUGUAGGCAACGUGGAGUAUGGCAUGGAAAGAUGACAUUUCCUUCAACAAACUCUCCUCUCAGAACUGAUGCUUUGUUUGAUGAAAUGCAAGAUGCAGAGCAUCACAUUGGUCAAUCUCCAUUUCAUAAUUUGCCAGUCGGCAUGGUUUCUCAGUUUCCAAUAGAUGCUAUGCACUUAGUAUACCUUGGAGUAGUUAAACGCAUGAUAAUGCUUUGGAUCAAGGGGCCACUGGAAAAUGGGUGUCGUAUUGGUAUGAAUGCUGUCAAGAGAAUAUCAAGUAGCUUGGCUUAUUUAAAGGGGUUCUUACCAAAAGAGUUCAGUCGCAAAGCACGGACUCUUAUGUCGAAAGAUGGAAAGCAACAGAAUUUCGUCAAUUCUUGCUGUAUACUGGUCCAGUUGUUCUAAAGAAACAGCUGCCUCCCAAUUUGUACAAGCAUUUUAUCUUGUUGUUUGUUAGUAUGUUUUGCUUGUCUUGCAGUUUUUUUUGUGAAACUUAUAGGGAUUAUGUCCAGGAAUUACUUUAUAGAUUUGCAAAUCAGUUUGGUGAGAUAUAUGGCAGAGAUAUGGUUGUUUUUAAUGUUCAUGGUUUGGUGCACUUGCCUACAUAUGUUCACAAGUUUGGUCCAUUGGAAAAUUUAUCUGCCUUUGUGUUUGAAAGCUUUCUCGGAAAAAUGAAGUGUCUUGUAAGAAGACCCACAUUGCCUCUGCAACAAGUUAUUCGUAGAAUAUCUGAAAGUAAAGGAAACCUUUUUGCUGAUGCUAAAGUUUCUGAAAAAGAAGGCAUAUUGAAAAAAGCCCAUGCUAAUGGACCACUGCUGAGAAGGUUUAACCAUAUGACAGUUUCCCAGUUCAAAGAAAUCCAUUUUCCUGACAUCUUUUUCUCUACAUCACAAGGCAACAACUGCUUUCUUGUAAAUGAUAAUGUUGGAAUUAUAAGAAAUAUUGUUUUGAACGAUGCUGCCCAAAAAUUGAUUAUUUAUGAGCAAUUUACUCGUGUAACAAAUUUUUUCAAUCUCCCAUUGCCAUCUUCAGACCUAAGAGUAAAACGUGUUGCCCAAUUAAGUGGCAUACUGUCUGUUGCUGAUUUUAAAGACAUCAUUUGUAAAUGUGUUCUCCUUCAAAUUGAUGAUGACUUUGUUUGUAUACCACUUAUACAUGAUUUGACUGAUUGAGAUACACUUCAAGCAGUUCAUUACACCACUUUUUUGUUUUUUUUUAUCUGAUUUUAUAACUUGGUCAUAUUCCUAUUAAAUUAAUACAGAAAAUGUAAACUAAAUCGAUUCAGUUUGAACGUUUUAAAAUUACUAUAGCUUGAUUCAUAGUUAUAUUAUAGCUAAACAUUUAUGUCACAUCAGAGAACAUAGUUAUUAGCUCACCUGCCACUCUGUGGCAAGGUGAGCCUUUGUGAUCGUCUUUCAUCCGUCCGUGCGUCUGUGCGUCCGUUAACUUUUUCUUUAAACAACAUCCCCUAAACCACUGGGCCAAUUUCAUUGAAACUUCACAGGAUAUUGCUUGGGUGAAGGUCUACCAAAAUUAUUCAAAUGGUUGCGGUCCCUUGCACAUUGUGGCCAUGAGGCCCCAAAAGGGGGGUUUCAGAAUGCAACUUUUAAAAAAUCUUCUUCUCAAGAACCACAAGGCCCAGUGCUUAGAUUAAGUUAGAUAGUUGGCGUGAAGCAUCAUCUAGUGGACCUCUACCAAGAUUGUUCAAAUCAUGACCCACAGGGUCAAAAUGGCCCUGCCCCAGGGCAAACCUAGUUUCACAUAAAGGAUAUAUAUGGAAAACUUUCAAAAAUCUUCUCUAGAACCACAAGGCCCAGAGCUUAGAUAUUGGGCAUGAUGCAUUAACUAGUGGACCUUUACAAAGAUUGUUCAAAUCAUGACCCAUGGGGUCAAAAUAACCCCGCCACAGAUUGAACUUAGUUUAACAUACGGAUAUAUUUGGAAAUCUAAAUCAGUUUCAGCUAUUGCAUACUCUGCAUUUCUCAUCAUCCCAGCCGUUUACUCCACAUACCAUGAAUAGGCAAGUGAGCGAAAUCAAGGCCUUUCUGGCCCACUUGUUUUAUCUAAAAUGUAGUUUUACCUUUAAAUGUUUACUAUAAUACAUUUUUAUACAUCUGUAGUGGUUUUAAGACUGCAUAAAAUUAUCAUUUCAAAUAUAGUUACUUUUUAUAUUUUAAUCUCAGUAAUUACUUCAAAAAUGUGCAUGCUGUGCCAGCAUUUGUCUUGUGAUUGUUGUCUUAUUAUAAAUGAUUGUAGCAGCAACAAUGCUUAAGUUUUGAUUUCGUUUUGCCAGGAAAUGUCCAAGUAUCUAGUAGUUGAGUUUGCCUCUCAUGAGGUAGCAAUCAUAUUAGAAAAAUGCCUGAAAAAAGCAGUGACGGGACAUCAAAAGCAUUUUGGCCACCCCUUAAAUCCAUUUCACAGCUGACGGCGGCUGUGAAACAACAUGCUGAGCCAGACAGUAACUGGAUGCUGUGUGAUGUUUUAAGAAUUAUGUACACAACAGACUUAUUUCAAAAAGCCCAGAAAAAGGAGAAGGAGGCAGAAGAGGAGUCAGAUUUGCUGACCGAUGUUGAUUUAACUUCUACAAAGGUGGCUGGUAAACGUAAACAUCGGCCGAAUCCACGAUUUAUAGAUUCGGAUUCAGAGUCUGACACGGAGGUGGUGAAAAAAUGCCCGAAGCCAGUCUCACAAGAUAAACCAAAACAAGACAACAUUUAGAGACAGGUGCCUCAACUUCAAGAUACAUAUUCAGACUCAGAAGCUGCUUAUGAUUAUCCAGCACCUCCAGUAAAAUUAAACCUUUUAACUACAACUACUACAAACCAACACCAACCUCGUACACCAACAUCAUCUAAACGUACCCCAGAACCUAUAACACCAGCAUCAUCUAAACGUACCCCAGAACCUGAUACACCAACAUCGUCUAGACCUACACCAGAAUCCUCACAGGUACCAUGAUCUCCACGUGCCUCGACAUCCGACACUGAGCGGACAAAGAAUGUGCUGUCAAAUCGAGACAUCUUGAUUCUUCGGAGUUUAGAAGAAAUAAAACAUGAACAGCGUGAAAUCAAGGGGAUGUUAACAGGGCUUAACCAGCGCCUGAAUGGAAGUGGAGAUGCAACUGCUUCAGUUCCAAACGGAGUUAACCUGCCAUUAAAAAGUGGAGAAGAAUUGCAAGAAGUAGAAACCAUUCUUCAAGAGCAGUCUUCAAUGCAAAUGAUGGUCAGGUAUUUCUCCAACAUUGGUGGGGCAUCGUUGAAGAGCAUGACAAAACGCAUAAUGAAGGACACUCUUCAAAAUAGUUUAGCUGUACAGUUCAACUGGACUGGAGCCAAAACUAAAAUAGCCUUUGGGUCAUUGAAGUUAUGUUCUGUAGUUUGUAGUAAGUUAUUGCAAUAUUCAUAUUUUGUUGACUCCUAAUCCAAUAGACCUCUCCGGCGUGGGUUCGAAUCCCAGCGGGGGACGCGAUUUGUCAGUUUGGCACGGAGGAGUAGGGGUCUGGUACUGGUUAUUUCCAGGAAAGAUGUUUAGGAAACUGACCGCACAAUAACUGAAAAAUUGUUGAAAGGGCGUAAAAACAAACAACAACAACUAUUCGUAUUAUAGUUAUUAGAGAUUGUAUAAAAGUAUUGUAUAUUUUGAUUAACUUAUGAACAAUGCUGUUCACAUCAAUUUACUUCUGUGCGUAUCUCAUGAUACUAUUAAAGUCUGUCAACAUUGAAUUGUCACUCGAUAACUAUUCGGUAAACUUCGUAAACCUUUAACGAUAUUCAAACACCCUUACCAUAAAAAAAAAUACAGGUUGUAUACAAGUUAUUAUAGUUAUAGACAAUUUUAGGGUGAAUGUCAUAACAAACUUACAGCAAAUGGUACUGUCAAUAUGACCUUGGAGAUGUGCCGAUAUGGAAAAAUAUCGGACCAUACCAAAGCUUUGGUGUCAUUUAAACUCGACAGAGUGGUUGCACAUAAUUGUACUUUUUAAUUAUGCUACAUGUUGUAUGAAAAUGAUUUUCUCAGAUAAGUUAUACGUUACAAAUUAUAUUAUUUCUAGCUAGUACAUAUGUUUAUCAAAUAUGUGCUCUGUAUU